UACAGGGGGUGCAAACGUUGCUCGGAAUCAUUGGGCGUAAAGCGCACGUAGGCGGUUCGUUAUGUCGGAUGUGAAAGCCCUUGGCUUAACCGAGGAAGUGCAUCCGAAACUGGCGAGCUAGAGUACUAAAGAGGAUCGCGGAAUUCCUGGUGUAGCGGUGAAAUGCGCAGAUAUCAGGAGGAACACCAAUUGCGAAGGCAGCUCGCUGGGACGUUACUGACGCUGAGACGCGAAAGCGUGGGGAGCAAACAGG
rnacentral:rRNA from 1 species